UGUUUAAUCUCCUAACAUUCCAUGACACAAGUUUCAACUUCAUUAAGUAUUUAAAUUUGUAUUUUUCCCCUUAUUCCUGCUCACCAAACUUUUGAACUUUACAUCAAAAGAAACAAGACUUUUUAGCUCUUGUGCACCUUUGAUUCAGUUCUUUUUUAUUACAAAAUCUUGUUGCUUCUUUCUCCUAACUUGUCUACAACUGUCUAUCUAGAGAAGUAAUUAUGUUGCCUCUUCUUCAUGCUCUCUGCAAUUGACUGUUGGGUAAAAUCUUUUAGUAGAUAAAAGGUUUCAUCUUCUCCGACGACAUCAAUACUGUUUUUUGGUAUUUGUUUGAACCUUAGUUUGCACUCCGCCCAUAUUGAAAUGUAAUAUUUGAUCUCGACAUAUAAAAUAGUCACCUCUCUGGGCAGGCUUCUUCCAUCAUUCUUCACCAAGAUUCUCUUUCACUUCAUAUGAUUUUUAAGUUCUGUUUCUUCUGUCGCGAUCCAUCCUCCGUAUAGUUCCCUUAUUUCUUGAAAAAAUCUUCUUAGACCAC
rnacentral:lncRNA from 1 species